AUGGAAAUCAUUUAUAAAAGCCUGAACAAGGAAGCCAAACUCAGAGCACUGUUCGAUUCAGUGGGGAUCCUGCCUAGCCUCCUCCAAACGCCUGAUGCCCACACGGCACACAGGGGUCGAGCUGGCUUCGGGCUUGUUCUGAAGGCCAAAGGCGAUGACCUGAAGCCGCUGCUCCACGCCGCCCACAGAGCUGCGAUGUUCACCGCCGGCUCUCAGCUCCUCACCCCCUCCUCCAGCUGUUCCUUCCCCUCUGCCUCCCACGAGGCCCUCACCGCAGCAGCCUGGGCAGGGCGCAGAAGACGAGAAAGUUGGAAGUUGCAAACUCCCCCUGCAGAAACCCCCACAGGCGCCCACCGCUCCCCUGCGGCACUCCGGCCGGCAGCAGACAGCUCAAAGGGGAAAUUAAAAAUAAAUUCCCCCAAAGCGCGGCCGGCCCCGCGCUGCCAGGCGCCUCAGCGAGCUGCUCCGGCACCGCCGCCGGGCACGGCCCGCCUGAGGGGCGCGGGGCGGGCUGGGGGCAGGCCGGGGGCAGGCCGCCGGGUCACCGCCACGGGGAUCCCACACGGAUCGAUCACCACAGAUCACCUCCGCGGCCCCCUCCCCUCCCGCGGCAGGAGGCCGAGGGGAGGCCGGCGGCGGGGCCGGGGCGCUGAGGGGAGCCCUGGGCAGCCCGGCCCCGAUCCCGGCCCCAGCGCCUCAGCCCGGGAUGGCGCCGGGGGGGGGGGGGGGGGAGGGGAGGGAGCAGGGCCCCGCCGCCCUCACACUACCUCGCUCCCCGCCACCUCCCCGACUGACAGCCGCGAACGCCAAUGCGCGGAGCCGCCUGCCAGCCGCCGGCCAAUCGUGGCUCGCGGGAGGCGGGCCGAGGCGCCCCAGCAUGGUGAGCUGCGCCUCUCGCUGCGCCUCUCGCUGCGCCGUGGGCCCAACGGGCCGAGCGCGGAACGGAGCGCCGCCGAGCGCUGCCCAGGGCCGGGACGCGGGGUCGCGUUAGGGCCGGGCGGCGCAGACGAAGCUCACCUGGCGGCUGCCCCGGGGCGGCGGCGGCGGGGCGGGCUGGGCCGUGCGGGCCGGGGCUGCGCCUCACAUUCAAACCGCGCCGAGAGGGCGCGGCGGCGGCACCGUGACGGCAGCGCGCGGGGCGGAGGCGGGGCCUGGCCGCCGGGCCAAUGGGCGGCCUCCCCUUCCGCGCGGAGAGCCAAUCGCGGCCCUGCUCCACACACGGGGCUGGCGGCCAAUAGGCGGCCGCGGCCCGCUGCGGAGGGCCGGGGCCUGGCCUGCGGCUGA
rnacentral:lncRNA from 1 species